GGUCGAUGAUUAACUUAUAAGAGUAGUGGACAGAAGGGAUUUCUGAGAAACGUUAACAAUGAGGCU